GCCCUCGGCCUGCCACUAUUAAUGCGCAUGCUUAAGAUAUAACGCAUUCGCGCUUCCUCCAGGACCUGCGGACGGACCUACGGUGGAAAACCCUGCUGAGAGCGUCACGGUGGCAACCAGGCCCCGCUGGACGGAACCGCUCACAGGGGAAGAUGGGGUGCCAACAAGGCAGGGCUUGAAGGCAAAGGCUCCAAGACUGUUAACAGCAGCCAGUAUGGCUUGGCAGCGAGGAUGGACUCGGGCUGCCAGCUCGCCUCUCCCAACCCGGAAUGCAGGCAGGCACAGGAACUGAGAGCGCUACUGAAGCCAGCAAAAUGGCCCGCGGGACCGAGACCCUGGGUGUUUUACAAGGCCAGCUAUAUUCUACUGCAAACAACCGCCGGUUUCUUCUGUGGCUACUCGUGCUGACAUGCAGGUGCUGAAUACUGCAGGUGGCCAAGUAAGCACUCUACGGGUACAAGAAUUCAUCCCACUGGCCCCAACGAGGACCAUCGGUCGCUGUCGCUUCAUUGCCUGCACUGCUGCAGAACUGCACCUGGAGCCACGGCCGCAGGCUCUGCCACCAUGUCCUGUCCUGGCGGUUAGCCCUGCCUUCGUCGGGCUCGCACCUCAAGUAUUAGCAUGCGUAAUUGCACUUUCGUCCCGUAUGCAAAUUUCUAGUCAUUGGACAAGUCUGGUGAAUACUGCCUCACUUUUUUUUUACUACGCAUUGAGCAUAUAUUUCACAUCUGUACAAAAUCAGCUAAAACUAUGUUGUUAGCUUUCACCUCUAAACUUGAAAAGCUGCCACUGUUUAACUCAAAUAACUGAUUUGCACAUCAAGCAGCCAGGACAUAUUAAACGUUGUUUUG